ensembl:lncRNA
GGUUGCCAUUUCCUUCUCCAGAGGAUCUUCUUGACCCAGGGAUCAUACUCGAGUCUCCUGGAUUGGCAGCUUUUCACAUAAUGCCUCAAAUAAUGAAAGAGAAGACUCUUUUGAGAGUAUCCUUGGACUGCAGGAAGAUUAAACCAGUCAACCUUAAAAAAAAUCAGCUCUGAAUAUUCACUGGAAGGACUGAUACUGAAGCUGAAGGUCUAUUACUUUGGCCAUCAGAUGCAAAGAGCUGACUCACUGGAGAAGACCCUGAUGUUGGGAAAGAUUGAAAGCCAAAGAGAAGCGGGCAGCAGAGGAUGAGAUGGUUAGAUAUCCUCACCGACUCAACAUGAAUUUGAGCCAACUCUGAGAGUGUUUGAAACAUUGCCCAACAUACGAGGAUGUUGGAGGAGGAGCAAGAACCCAG